CGGGGCGUGGCGCAGCCUGGUAGCGCGCAUCGUUUGGGACGAUGAGGUCGCGAGUUCGAAUCUCGCCGCCCCGACCA
rnacentral:tRNA from 1 species